rnacentral:rRNA from 1 species
GACGAACGCUGGCGGCGUGCCUAAUACAUGCAAGUCGAACGCAGGGGGGACGGGUGAGUAACACGUGGGUAACCUCCCAUCAGAGGGGAUAACACUUGGAAACAGGUGCUAAACCGAUACUGAUGGAUGGACCCGCGGUGCAUUAGCUAGUGGGUGAGGUAACGGCUCACCAAGGCCACGAUGCAUAGCGGACCUGCGAGGGUGAUCGGCCACACUGGGACUGAGACACGGCCCAGACUCCUACGGGAGGCAGCAGUGGGGAAUAUUCGGCAAUGGACGAAAGUCUGACCGAGCAAUGCCGCGUGAGUGAAGAAGGUCUUCGGAUCGUAAAACUCUGUUGUUAGGGAAGCGGUACCGAACGAAAAAGCCACGACUAACUACGUGCCAGCAGCCGCGGUAAUUC